rnacentral:rRNA from 1 species
GUUAAGCGACUAAGCGUACACGGUGGAUGCCCUGGCAGUCAGAGGCGAUGAAGGGCGUGCUAAUCUGCGAUAAGCGCCGGUAAGGUGAUAUGAACCGUUAUAACCGGCGAUACCCGAAUGGGGAAACCCAGUGUGACUCGUCACACUAUCAUUAACUGAAUCCAUAGGUUAAUGAGGCGAACCGGGGGAACUGAAACAUCUAAGUACCCCGAGGAAAAGAAAUCAACCGAGAUUCCCCCAGUAGCGGCGAGCGAACGGGGAGGAGCCCAGAGCCUGAAUCAGCAUGUGUGUUAGUGGAAGCGUCUGGAAAGGCGCGCGAUACAGGGUGACAGCCCCGUACACAAAAGCGCAUGUGCUGUGAGCUCGAUGAGUAGGGCGGGACACGUGGUAUCCUGUCUGAAUAUGGGGGGACCAUCCUCCAAGGCUAAAUACUCCUGACUGACCGAUAGUGAACCAGUACCGUGAGGGAAAGGCGAAAAGAACCCCGGCGAGGGGAGUGAAAAAGAACCUGAAACCGUGUACGUACAAGCAGUGGGAGCACCCUUUGGGGUGUGACUGCGUACCUUUUGUAUAAUGGGUCAGCGACUUAUAUUCUGUAGCAAGGUUAACCGAAUAGGGGAGC